rnacentral:rRNA from 1 species
CUCCUACGGGAGGCAGCAGUGGGGAAUCUUGCACAAUGGGGGAAACCCUGAUGCAGCGACGCCGCGUGAGCGAUGAAGCCCUUCGGGGUGUAAAGCUCUUUCGGCAGGGAAGAUGAUGACGGUACCUGCAGAAGCAGCUGCGGCUAACUACGUGCCAGCAGCCGCGGUAAUACGUAGGCAGCAAGCGUUGUUCGGAGUUACUGGGCGUAAAGGGUGUGUAGGCGGUCGAUCAAGUUUGGUGUGAAAUCUCCCGGCUCAACUGGGAGGGUGCGCCGAAUACUGAUGGACUCGAGUGCGGGAGAGGAAAGUGGAAUUCCUGGUGUAGCGGUGAAAUGCGUAGAUAUCAGGAGGAACACCGGUGGUGUAAACGGCUUUCUGGACCGUAACUGACGCUGAGACACGAAAGCGUGGGUAGCAAACAGGAUUAGAUACCCUAGUAGUCCCU